rnacentral:tRNA from 1 species
GGGCCUAUAGCUCAGUCGGUUAGAGCAGUGGACUCAUAAUCCGUUGGUCGACAGUUCAAGUCUGUCUGGGCCCACCA